rnacentral:lncRNA from 1 species
GUACAUGGGCUGUUAGGAAAUAGAGAAAUAACAUUUUAAAAUGAUUCUUAGUACAAAAACAAUUCCAUAAACUUGUUUAAUCCAUAUUUAACUUGUUUUAACUCUAAAUUGAUCCGUUCCAGUUGCAUUAAUUUUGUUUUAAUAUUGUUUAUCACCUAGUACCUUUGUUUAACCAUGAAACUUGAAUUAAGAUUGCUCAAUUAAAUCAAUCUAUUCUAGGUGCUAAAUAAUUUCAGAAAUUCAUAACUCAAUAUCCGUAAUUCCGUUUUAAUCCAUUCUAGUUGCAUUAGUCUCACAAUAAUAUUUAUUAUCAUCUGGUAACUUUGUUUUGUCAUGAAAAAUAGGUUAAAAUGUUGCAGUUAGUCUAUUCUAUAUUUAACCACGUGGAUCUUCGGAAAUUCAUAACUCGGUAACCGUAGCUUCGAAUUUAGUGGUUCUUGUUUCUACGAUCUCGUUACGACACGUAGAUUAUUAAUACGCAGUUUAAUAUUAUGUUUGGUGUGAUGUUAAUUUUGUCUAUACAUGUUUGUCUGUAUUGCUACGUUUAGCAGUGAGGACACGUGUCAUCUGAAGAGCAAGUUGGUACCUGGAAUCUCAAGUGUCAGGCAAGUUGUGCCCUUGAUCACUUCUUUUUACCCACUCAUGUUCUAAUUAAUCAUAAUGAUAUGCAUAGGUUAAUUUUGAUGGGACCUAAUAGGUUACCCUAGUUUGUCUAUCUUUAUACCUUGUUUACCACUGAACUUUUUGGGUAGUACUUGCUAGUGCUUUAUGUGGUUUUGGGUAUGAAGAUACAUUAUUCAUGAUCACACUUUUAUUAUCUAUUUAUUAUUACUGUUCAUGAUAAGAUCAUUAUGUUAAUUGGAACAUGGAGCGACCACCCGGGAAAACAAUGCUACCACAAGGGUUUAAUGGGACGUCCUUGGCUGAAUAAUUAGGAAAGCUAGUGGAAGACUACCUUACCCGAAAGGGGCAAGGGCAGUAGGGGAGUGGUCAGUGUAGGGAGGUCCUUGGGAUGAUUUUGCUGCGAUGACGAUCAUGCGAGGGAUCCCUGCAUUGGAGCUUCCUAUAAACUGUAGCGGGUUUUCUGAAGCUAGUGGAACUUUGUAAAGGCCUCGUAGUGUUACCCUGCCUCGCCUCCUCGGUAGAGGUGUAUGGGAAGUCGCGAUCCCUUGGCAGAUGGGUAACAUGACUUGUGGGUAAAGAUGAGCAACCUCUGCAGAGUGUAAAACUGGUAUACUAGACGUGCUCACGGUCAUGAGCAGCUCGGACCCUCACAUGAUUAAUUUAUGGAACUAAAUUCAAUUUGUCAUAUGCAUUGCAUCGCAGGUGAUGUUGUUACUUUUGUUCUACUACUUAAUUGGGUUUAGUAUUUACUUAUAAUUAGUAAUUGCUAAUAAAAUUUUGACCAACUUUAAAAGCAAUGCUCAACUCUAACCAUCCUCUUUGGUAAGCCUUACACUUCACAUGAACUCCCACCUUUGGCGAGUUCAUUCACAUUAUUCCCCACAACUUGUUGAGCGAUGAACGUAUGUGAGCUCACUCUUGCUGUCUCACACCCCCCACAGGUCAAGAACAGGUACCGCAGGAUGAGGCGCAUGGAGGAUGUUGUGGCGAGUUCGUGAGAGGUCUAGGUCGUCGUCUCCCAGUCAACUUUGGGUUGCUGGACCGUUGUCUCCUUAUAAUGUAAUUAUUUAUUUAUUUUUGUAUAGAACUCCUGUUAUGUAGUAAAGAUGUGACAUUCGAUCAUGUGCCAUGAUUCAUCAUAUGUGUGAGACUUGGUCCCAGCACACCUGGUGAUUAUGUUCGCGCCCGGGCUUUGGACCCCUGAAACCCGGGUGUGACAUUAGGUCUCUUGGGCCAACACUCCCCCUAAAAGCUAGUCUGUUAGGGGGUUGCAGCCUCAACCAUAUAAACCAUGUUUUUCCAUCCUCACCACACAAUGUGAGACUAUUCCCAACAAUCUCCCCCUCACACAUUGUGAUCCAAGAUUUGUCUGAGAAUAUACUGGGCCAACCUGGCUCUGAUACCAAUUGUUGGAACCGGACCACUGACACAUGGCGUGUCCGUUGGGGACGCCCGCACACACGACGCGCUCACCUAGGCUGUCGGGCCGCGACACACGCGUCCGCACGUAUAGCAGUGAGCUUUAGGUCUCUUGGGCCAACACUCCCCCUAAAAGCUAGCCUGUUAGGGGGUUGCACCCUCAACCAUAUAAACCAUGCUUUUCCAUCCUCACCACACAAUGUGAGACUAUUCCCAACAAAGCUGUUUUUGGAGGCGAGGAGAGAUGUUAUGACUGGAAAGGGCUACAAUAAAAGGGCUAAGGAUGGUUAAGCAACAUCAACCCAUAUUAUCAAUAGUUAAGCAAGAAGUAAUAAAGAGUAUUUACUUCCAACUUCCCUUAAUCCCUUCUCUCAUCCUCUUCACCACGGCACCCCCUGAAACAGCACCCAGGCGGCGUGCCCUUGCCCAGCAACAUCAACCCUACAACCUGAGAAGCUCAGACAAAGUUUGCCAUGAACUAUUUAUCAUGGUUGAAGACUUGGUAUUCUCUGCUUUAUUAGUGGCGUUUCUAGCAUUCGCAACACCUUGCGAGUCAUUCUACUUGCCAGGUAGUAGUUUACAUGCACACAUAUCGGCAAGGUGAAGUAAUAGGGGCGAAGGUGAAGUCGCUCACUUCCAUUGAGACAGAACUGCCCUUCAGGUUACUACAACUUUCCAUAUUGCCGUCCUAAAGAUGGGGGUUAAGAUAGAAGAGUGCUGAGCGAGCUUGUGAUGGGUGACCAAAUAGAUAAUUCUCCGUACCGUUUAUUCCGUGUAAAUGUCAAUGAAUCUCAGUAUCUAGCUGUGUACUACAAACCCACUUGACGCGGGGCUAUGAUGUGAAGGUCGUCAACUCUGACAGCUAUUUCAAAUUAAUCCGCGAUGUCAUACGGACUAGAUGCACGCGGGUCACAACUAUAGCACAGACAUAUCAUGUCGGCCUGCUAACUGGGUCGGGCCAGCCCGUUAGCCCGUCGAUCCAUUUAGUUAAAUCAGCGUAACGAUGCCCGACAUGGGCUAGAUGCACGCGGGCCACAACUAUGGCACAUGCACGUCAUGCCGGCAUGCUAACUGUUGAUGGGCCAUCGAUCCAUUUAAUUAAAUCAGCGUAGAAUGUUAAAAAACGGUGCAGAGGGCGGGAGACAUUAGGUGAAAUUGUCUAACCAGUAGAACAUCACGCUAAAAUGUUUUUAAUAUUGAAUAUAAAUUGUAUAUAGGUAUAUACGUUUUGGUAAAAUAAAAAAAUAAUCGUAUCGGGUAGGGCCAGCACUACGGGCCGAGGCUACAGCCCAAGCACGACACGACGUUCUUUGCUCUUGCAAGCAUUAGGUCGUUUCUGAGACCACAUUGGCGCAAUGGACUACACGGUGUUUGAGGUUGCUGAAUUGGAUGAAGCAACAAUAAUUUGUCACACUAACAACAAAAAUUAAAGGUUAUUUGUUGGUUUUAAACGUUAGUAAUUACUACGAAGUAGCGUAAUUUAUAUGGAGCACAUACAGUUUUUAUUGAUGCCUGACUUUAGCAAUCACUUCAUAUUUUGAUCUAUCUUUUUUUAUAAGUUUGAUUUCAUGGGACUUAUUUUAUAAACUUGAUUUCACAAAUUUUCUCUUAUUUGGUCUCUGUCUGUAUGAUGAAAUUAUGUCAUUUUAUAAUCUCUGUUCAUUCAGUCAAUCGUUGUGAACUUUCUUCUAAUCGCUCACUUUAUUGGUCGUGUUGUACCAAGACAUAUUUGCAUGGAGCAAACAAUAACAUCAGUUAACCAAAUCAAAAAUAUAUAUUAUACAGAGAGCAGAGACAAUCAAUAAAAGAUCUUGGAAUUUUUUUUGAUAGAUAGUUUACAUAGGUAUUGUUGUAAGCCGUUGCAACGCAGAGGCAACCGACUAGUUACUCGUAAUUGCUUACUAGUAGUAUUGUUUAUGCUUUAGCUGUGUGACUGGAGCUAUUCAACUCUCACUCACCCAUGUCAUCCCGAGGACCUGCGUUCUGUCAGUUGAACAUACAUGUCGCAAUUUUUUCGGUGCUCAAAUGUUUCGGUGCUACUACGGUUGGGCCCCGUGUGCUCAUGGAUUACCUGUCAGAUCCAUCGUACGUUAGGCAACUUAAUAAGCUCUUCCUCUGUCGUGCACCCUCAUCGUUCUUGAAUGGCAGCUAAAACGUCGUUUCGGAGUUAGCUUUAUUGCUCAGUGAUUAUUGGUUAUGCUUGCUAGCCUGACGGAAGACAUGUGCGUGCCAACCCCUACGCCACGCCUUUUUUUUUCUUCGUUUCUGGAAGGAAGUCUCAUUCUUGGCUGCUGCAUUUCCUUUUCCUUUCCUUUUUCUUUUUUGUUGUUGCUGAAAUGGUUGUAACCUUGGGCCUGGGGGCGUUGCGCUGUUCUCCUCAGCCUCCAGCUCGUAACGGCCAAACAGACAUGACGUGCCAGAGACCUAACGCUGAUGGUGACUGACUGCUACGGUGGUUCUUUCACAUGAACUGCCACCAUAUUAUACCUGUAGGUCUUCUCUAAUGCAUGCGGCAGUUCCGGUCGGCGUGUGCCCGCGUCUUUUGCCUUCGAUGUGCGAGUGCUAUCGAUUUUUUUUUUGACAGACGUGACCUGGCUGUUCAUGUGAAAGGUACUCCCAGCCCAAGCUGUUGUGUUGUGUCCUCCCUAAGCAACGUGACCCUCUCCUUUAAUUUCUUGCUGAUGCAAACUGCGAUGGUUUUCGCUCCUUGUUUACUCCAACUUUUUUUUUUGUUUUCCUCAGGUAUUCGGACGGCGGGUGCUGCUCUUGUCCCCACUCCACCCCCCUCUUUUUUUUUUUCUACCAAACGUGCUUUUUGCUUGUUAAGCAACCGCGGCCUAUUCCCUCGAGAUCUUAAUGAGCGGAGCGGAUCAGCGGAGGGUGUGUGAUCGUGAAGCCAUGCCGCUCCUUUUCCUUUUGCUGGAGCGGUGGCCGCCGAUCGAGUAAGGCGUCGCGGUCGCGGCGGCAGGUUGGAGGCAGCGUUUGCGUUGAUGCCUGAUGGCAGGCUGGCUGGACCAGUGGAGAAAAUAAUAAUAAUUAAAAAAAGGACGCAUCUGUCCCUCGCAGCACCUGAUCUGUCUACAUUUCUACAACAGACAACACAACCACGGAAGGGGCGUGCUGCAUCCAUGGCCAUGCAUGAUCCAUGCAUGGUGUGUGAUGUGAUGGAGACCGUGGGACUCAUGCCGUCUGCGCUCACAGCCUCCGGACUGGGCAACGACGAUACGAUACCAUCAAAUUCGUUGGCAGCCCCACUGAUACCACGUGAUUAACCAGCUAAAUUUAAUCAUUCCAACGUGUACAUUUCUGCUCUAAUACGGUGACUAUCUCCAGUAGACUCCCUGUCCUACUAUACAAACAGUAUAAUCUCCAGUGCUACGCGUACCGGAGAUGGAUGGCCUGUAUAGUCUACCGUCUCCUACUCUCCUACCAAAACAUAAGUCUCACCAAAAAAAAAAAAGGACCAACCGACGGAUCUGCAAAGCAAACACGGUCCCGUCCUGAAUGGCCCCACGUCCUGGAUGAUUCUCCUGGUAGUACGCUGGUUAGGCUCCCCACCAACACGCCGACGAAGGCCGAACCCCCGCCUUGGUCAAACGAACCACGUGGUGGGCUAGAGAGUGGAGACCCAAUAGGAAGCACGGAUCCCAAACGUGGACCAGCGACCGACGCACGCACCGACGAAAAAUGGCCCACGACCUAACGAAACUAUUUACACAAAUCUCCCAAAAUGUAUCGACCGAGGCAGCAGUAGUAUCGUCACCAAGGAAGAGGGCCGAAGGGCGGAGGAAGGCGGGUAUAAAAUUUGGCGGGUUCUCGGUUCCGCCGGCGAAGCGUUUACUUCUUCGGCCGCGAUCUCGAGGAGGGAGGGAGCGAGCGAGCGGGAAGAAAGAGGGGGGCGCGCGCGCGCCCAUGUUUUGACCUCGCCCGGCGUCGUCUCGGCAGCGAUCUAGAUCUGAGGUCAGUUCCCUCCCCUCCCCUGAUC